UACGGAGGAUGCGAGCGUUAUCCGGAUUUAUUGGGUUUGAAGGGUGCGCAGGCGGAGGCACAAGUCAGCGGUAAAAUCGCGGGGCUCAACCCCGCUCCGCCGUUGAAACUGUGUCCCUUGAGUGCGCGAAGGGUAGGCGGAAUGCGUGGUGUAGCGGUGAAAUGCAUAGAUAUCACGCAGAACUCCGAUCGCGAAGGCAGCCUACCGGCGCGCGACUGACGCUCAUGCACGAAAGCGUGGGUAUCGAACAGG
rnacentral:rRNA from 1 species